UCUCCACAGAUCGGACCGCGUGUGACUAAGACGUGGAUCCCAGGAGACGGCUGCACCACGGUCCCCUGCCCUUUCUGCGCAUGCCCCGUCCCGAGACGCUCGCGCGCAGCCUGGGCCGCGGGGCCGCGUGGGCGGCGGCGGACGUCAGUCAGCGCGUCAGGUUCAACCUUGGUACAAGUAAUCCAGUUAAUUCCCGAUAUGCAGAAGAGGCACAGAAUGACAAGGGCCACAUGGUCUCACUCAUGUACACAGGUCUUGGAUCCGUUUGGGAGCACGCCGCUAGUGUGCUCGUAUCACACAAGAGUCCCAUUUGGGAGCUCAUUGCAUGGGCCUCAUUUCAGCUUUCCCAAAAUGGCUUUCCUGUUGAGCAGCAUUAAUUAGAAACUGCACUCUGCUCUGUGAUUGACGGUGCUACCUUUGACUUCCCACCCACACUCCCAGAACUCAGGGAACACUGGAGCCAUUGGCACCACAGACAUAAAGAUUACCCAAGCUCGUGAGAUUGUGUCGUGUGUGAACUAGAAAGCGGGUGAAGUGGGGCUGCAGGCUGCAGGCUGCAGAGGAGAAAGCCGAGGUCACAGCAAUGGAAACCACCACAGCGCAUCUAGGAAGGUGGGCAGUGACGAGAACGAAGCAGAGGGGGCAGCAGCAGAAGAGCUCGCCCCUGUGCCACUGCCCUGGAUCCUCCCCACAGGAGCACCCACGGCACACCCACCCCAAACCCCCAAACGUGACCAAUGAGAAAUGCAGCCA